rnacentral:lncRNA from 1 species
UACGCAUAGUUUAUUUUCGAGUUUUCUUUCUUAGUUAGUUUAACCUUUUAUAUUUUAAGUACGUUUGUUUGGUUUUUCAUGUAAGGGAUGUUAACUUUAAAUUUUGAUCUCGCUUCCGCAUUCGAUAUAUUUAAAUACUCAUUUCAUUUUAAUAUUUUCCGGGGCCGUUACAUAUAGUUUAUAAGUAAACAAUUUUUUUUUGUUAAUUUUAGUUUUAGCUAU